rnacentral:rRNA from 1 species
UACGUAGGGUGCGAGCGUUGUCCGGAAUUAUUGGGCGUAAAGGGCUCGUAGGCGGUUUGUCGCGUCGGGAGUGAAAACACUGGGCUUAACCGAGUGCUUGCUUUCGAUACGGGGCAGACUUGAGGCAUUCAGGGGAGAACGGAAUUCCUGGUGUAGCGGGUGAAAUGCGCAGAUAUCAGGAGGAACACCGGUGGCGAAGGCGGUUCUCUGGGCAUUACCUGACGUGAGGAGCGAAAGUGUGGGGAGCGAACAGG